GCUACAUGGCACCUGGUAAUUUAGUACUGUUAUAUGUAUCUUGUCCACUGCCCAUUCCUUAUUCUGCUUUAGUGUAUCUGCUCUUCCUUUGGAAGUAUAUAACUGCUUUUCUGUAACUGCGUUUUGAGACAACAUAACAAGUUACUUUUUUCGGAAAUGCAGAGCUAGCACUUACAAUGAAGGUUACAGAGAAAUGUGAUGUUUAUAGCUUCGGAGUGGUGGCAUUGGAACUAAUGAUGGGACGGCACCCGGGAGAGUUCAUAUCUUCACUUUCGUCCUCAACAACAACAGCAGCAGCAUUGCAAAGUAAUCCCGAUCUGUUUUUGAAAGAUCUGCUCGACCAACGGCUUUCACCUCCUACUGGCCAAAUAGCAGACGGAGUGGCAUUUUUAGUAACCCUUGCAUUAGCAUGCACACAGGCCUCGCCAGAGUCGCGGCCUAACAUGCGUUUUGUUGCACAAGAAUUGUCAGCUAAGACUCAGGCUUACUUUCCAGAGCCACUGGGAACAAUAAAAGUUAGUAAACUAACAAAUUUCCAGAAAUAGGUGUUGAGCAAGAGUGUUUUGAAAAUCUUAGAAUAUAAUCAUCACUUGUAUUGUACAGCAUAAUUUUAUCAACGCACUGUAUCAUAUAGUAGGGUAUGGGUGUACAAUUAUGCAACAAAAUUAUCCUUCAGCUUCACACGUAGCAUAUCACAUGCUGAAAAUGGAUGCAUUCUUCGUUUUAGCCAUCAUAGAUAUUAUAAUUGAUAAUAAAGCAAUUGAUGCUGAUGAUCUGAUUCUAUUUAGAAAAUAUAAAGCAGGUAGAAAAUUAUAGAAUUAUGAACAUGGAUCAACUAUUAACAUGGCAGCACAAUGCACCACUACUAUGACCAAGUUUUUCUUCUCUGACAUAGUUGAGCACAAAUACAGAGAUCGAUGCAUAUAAUAUAACAGGUUGAUUGGAGCAGAAAAGGAGUACUAGCAUUAAAAAUAAUCUCCAAACUUGAGAUGAAAUCAUAAUUUGAUAUACAUAUGUAGAAAUCUGGUUUUAAUUGUUGAUUGAUUGAUGUACCAUAUUUAGGAUGAAUAGGAUUGAUUGAUGUACCAUACUUAAACUUUCCAUAGUUUGGUAGGCUAAUUAGCUCUCUCCCAAUCAAUUUCACACAAUCAUUUGUGUGUUUUUCUCUUCAUGGUAUUAGAGCUAGGUUCCAAAUCAACCUAACAAUCAAUGACAACCAACACUAGGGAUUCUACAACUUCUGAUUCCUCUCUAAGUGAGGCAGAAAUUAUCUCCUCGAUGAGCUCCAAUAAUGUCGAAAAUCCUUCUUUACUACUCUGUGUCAAAAAAUUGAAUGGAAGGAAUUUUCGAGCAUGGGCUCAAUCUAUCAAAUUGAUAAUUGAAGGCAAAGGAAAACUAGGUUACCUCACUGGUGACACCAAGCAGCCGAUUAAAACCACUCUUCCUCAGAAGUGAAGAUCUGAGAACGCCAUGAUAAAUGCAUGGCUCGUGAAUUCCACGAUUCCAUCCAUAGGGAAAACUUCUUAUUUCCGUCGACAGCAAAGGAAGUAUAGGAAGCAGUGAAAGAAACCUACUCCGAUGGAAAAAAUGCGUCACAUAUUUUCGAAAUAAAAACGUGGCUGUGGCAAACCAAACAGUUAGAAAGGGAGGUCACAGAUUAUUACUUGGAGAUGACUAAUUUGUGGCAAGAACUCGACCUUAGCCUUGAUGAGGAAUGGGAUUGCCCUGGUUAUAGCAUCCUCUACAAGAAGAGGGUCGAAAAUGAGCUGCUUUUCGAAUUCCUUGCUAGUCUCAAUCGCAAACUGGAUGAAGUAAGGGGGAGAAUCUUAGGCCGUUGACCCCUACCAUCUACUCGGCAUGAUUUUUUAGAAGUGAGAAGAAACUCGUAGAUAAAUCAUUUUUUGAAGUGUGGGGAUUCCGACAUCGCCAUGGAGCCUUUUGGGACGGUGUCGAGAGGAUAUCGGCAUGGGUCUUCU
rnacentral:lncRNA from 1 species